AAUGGUUUGUAUCUUUCACUAAGCAGUAGUAAACUAUGAAUGGGGGUGGUGCCUCUCAUCUUGGUUUCAGGUCAGGGAAAAUGAAACUUAAAUCCUCACCAUCACAACAUCAUCAACUGAGGCAGCAGAGACAGACAGGACAAAGUAACAGACACCCUCUUCAUUGAGUUGAAUUGAGUUCAGGAUAAACAACAGAGGAAAAGUACCUCAAAAUUAUGACUUCAGCUCCUGAUAAACCAGAUUGUGGGCCGAUGGUGGUUACUGUUGGAGUCUUGACGUUGGUCAUUGGAAUCGCUGUUGGAGUGAAACUGAAGGAGGCCACAGACCGGUUCGUUCAACAACAUCAAUGGAAGAUCAUUGCCUUUGUCACUGUUUUUAUUGUUGUUUGUAUCAUGGUGCUUCUGAUCUUGAAGAAACAGGAAGUAUAGAGGGAUACUGAAGCCUGACUCCUACGAUUAGCAGACACUUCUCAGUCAGUCACACACAACUCCCUCUGGAUAAGAUCUGCUAAAUGACUGAACUGUAAACAACAUUUGGAUAAAAGUGAUUCAUAGUAGGCUAGAUGUAUUUGUCUAAGAUUGUAUUCCUAUUUUAAUGUGACCACGAUCCUUUUCCAUCUCUGGCCAUCUCUGUGUGUGCUCGUACUUUGUCAAUGUUUGUGAUUUAUAGUUGUAAGUGUCUUAUAGAUCAGUUGAACAUCGACUUAAUAUUAUGUUUUUGUAACCAAUUGCCUGUGUCUCUUCAACUCAUUUGUUUUUGCUCAUCAACAUGUCAGUAUCUUCUGGGCUGAUUAAACCAAAUAGUAAAUCAAAUUUUAA